UACAGGGGACCUAAAUAUCUUAAAGACAUCAAAUCUCAUCUGAUCUUGGAAGCUAAACAGGUCAAUACUGAGUAGUAUUUGGGUAGAAAACUAUCCCCAAAUACCAGAUGCUGUAG
rnacentral:rRNA from 1 species